UUAACUGAAACCAAAAUAGAGGUAUAUUACUGUUAAUAAUAAAAUUGAAUAAAAUAUUCCAGUUAAG
rnacentral:tRNA from 1 species